rnacentral:rRNA from 1 species
UACGUAGGGGGCAAGCGUUGUCCGGAUUUAUUGGGCGUAAAGAGCGUGUAGGCGGCCAUACAGGUCAGCUGUGAAAACUCGAGGCUCAACCUCGAGACGUCGGUUGAAACCGUAUGGCUAGAGUCCGGAAGAGGAGAGUGGAAUUCCCGGUGUAGCGGUGAAAUGCGCAGAUAUCGGGAGGAACGCCCGUGGCGAAGGCGGCUCUCUGGGACGGUACUGACGCUGAGACGCGAAAGCGUGGGGAGCGAACAGG